AAAGUAAAUCGCCUUAUCGAUUCUAAUUUUAGAGUAGGAAAGUCCGAACACCAUAGUGCAAUCAUAGUGGUUAACAGCCACCAGUCGCAAGGCUAGGAAAAGUGCAACAGAAAGUAUGUACAGGUAAUGCUGUAGUGAAAUCAGGUAAACUCUAUGUGGUGCAAUGCCAUGUAAACUAACGUUUGAGCGUGCACGCGCGAUUGUUAGAGGGUAGGCAGCUAAAGUUUGCUGGUAACAGUAAACGCAGAUAAAUGAUAAGGGUAUUUUGUUCUUGUUAUGAAGAGAUUCUAAAACAAGUUCAGAAUAAACAGAAUUCGGCUUAUAGAUUUGCUUAAAUA
rnacentral:RNase_P_RNA from 1 species